rnacentral:rRNA from 1 species
AUGCAGAGUUUGUUUGAGCCCUUGCUACCGCGAGAGCGGGACAAGCGGGGUGAGCAUGUUGUGCCAUGCAACGAAAGAGUUCGUUUCAACAACCUAACAGGAGAUACAUUGAAGUUUAAGGCAAACAAAAGGACAUACAUCGUCAUGUGUCACAAGGGGCCAGAGAGAGCGCAAUGUGUUGGGCAACAAGAAGGGGAAGGACUUCGUAGCAUAACUUGCAGUGUUGAUGUCUUGCUCGGGAUCAAGAUUCUUUGGCUAGGCACUCUUUGA